rnacentral:rRNA from 1 species
GUGAGGAAUAUUGGGCAAUGCCCGAAAGGGUGACCCAGCAACGCCGCGUGGAGGAUGAAGGUCGUAAGAUUGUAAACUCCUGUUAGAGGGGAAGAAUAACUAAGUUUGGAGCUUAGUAUGACUGUACCCUCAGAGAAAGCCCCGGCUAACUACGUGCCAGCAGCCGCGGUAAUACGUAGGGGGCAAGCGUUGUCCGGAUUUACUGGGCGUAAAGGGCGCGUAGGCGGCCUGUUAAGUUAGGAGUGAAAGCCCCGGGCUCAACCUGGGAAUUGCUCUUGAUACUGGCAGGCUUGAGUUCCGGAGAGNAUGGUGGAAUUCCCAGUGUAGAGGUGAAAUUCGUAGAUAUUGGGAAGAACACCGGUGGCGAAGGCGGCCAUCUGGACGGACACUGACGCUGAGGCGCGAAAGCGUGGGGAGCAAACA